rnacentral:rRNA from 1 species
UACGUAGGGUGCAAGCGUUGUCCGGAAUUAUUGGGCGUAAAGAGCGUGUAGGCGGCCAGAUAAGUCCGCUGUGAAAUCUCGAGGCUCAACUUCGAGCUGUCGGUGGAAACUAUCUGGCUAGAGUCCGGAAGAGGAGAAUGGAAUUCCUGGUGUAGCGGUGAAAUGCGCAGAUAUCUGGAGGAAUACCGGUGGCGAAGGCGGCAUCCUGGACCGACAUUGACGCUGAACGGCGAAAGCUAGGGGAGCAAACGGG